rnacentral:misc_RNA from 1 species
UUUGCCUAUAAAAUGCCGUUCUUUUGUAAUUAAAUGGUGCAAAAACAAUACCAAAGUGAACAAAAAGUCUGAAGAAAUAUCGUUUCACACGUAAGUACGUACAAAACUUUAUAUUUUUUGUUAUUCCAAAAUAAUAUUGAGGUUAUUCGGAACUUAUAAUUUCUAUGCCUCGAAAUGACGUACCGAGGGAGUGUUACCAGUAAUUCUUAUUUCCAUUAGCCCAAAAUGCGGGACCUACCUGAUGAGUCUAAAAUUAGUCGUUAACCAAGAUUCAAUCUUUGAUACACCUAGAAAACAUAAACUAAGAGAAAAGUUAAAAAAACAGGAACUUUAUUUAAAAAAAAAUGUAAAAAAAUUAAAUCAUUACAGCAAAGAAUUAGACGUCUUUAAAACAGGAACUU